rnacentral:lncRNA from 1 species
CUAGCAUAAAAUCUGGAGAAAUGGUUAAAUUCAGAGUCAAAGUUCACAUCUGCUUGUCUGGAACAGAGUCUACUGAAGCUCUAAAUUUUGAUGAAUCACUUAAGGCUGAGUAUGGAACAGCAGGAGAGAAAUUUUGAAGGUCAUAAUCUUACAAGGACUUUUGACUUUUAGGAAACCAACUCAGUUCUCAUAGUGAAGAUGUCACCAGCUGUCCAUGGACGGUGUGUGAGAGCUAUUGCAUAUCAUAGCCAUAUGAGGAGAUAGGCCUUGCAUUGAGGGCCCCCUGUCAGGGAGAGAUCACAUGAUGUAGGUGCACCUCCCCCUCAAGCUCUGCCUAAGAUCCCACAAAGCAACUGAGAUGGGUGUGACUUGCCAAGAUGUCAGUCAAUCUGCUGACCACAAGACAUCAAGGAAUCAAGACUCCACCCUUAAAACCUUAUCCUCUACCUUAUUUGGUGAAGAACAUUCUAUGGAAACUCCUUUGUUAGUCCCCCUAUAAAAAUAAAGAGAUUCUGGGUGCACUCGCUCUUUCCAGCGUGGAAGCUGACCCUUAAGGUUGUAGAGCCAUUCUUAUCCUCAGUUUAAAAACUACUCUCUAUACUACGUGAUUUUUUUGCCACUUUCUUAACCUAUUGUUGCAGCCAGCUCUUUUAAACCCAGUUCAUCUCGUCUGCAUGGGUGCUGGCGAGAGGAAGAGCCAAGAAAUCCUUGUGGAUCUGAC